rnacentral:piRNA from 1 species
UGGACAUUUUCAGCCUUGAGAUCAGUGUCU